AGUGAACGCUGGCGGCAGGCCUAACACACGCAAGUCGAACGGCAGCACAGUAAGAGCUUGCUCUUACGGGUGGCGAGUGGCGGACGGGUGAGGAAUACAUCGGAAUCUACUUUUUCGUGGGGGAUAACGUAGGGAAACUUACGCUAAUACCGCAUACGACCUACGGGUGAAAGCAGGGGAUCUUCGGACCUUGCGCGAUUGAAUGAGCCGAUGUCGGAUUAGCUAGUUGGCGGGGUAAAGGCCCACCAAGGCGACGAUCCGUAGCUGGUCUGAGAGGAUGAUCAGCCACACUGGAACUGAGACACGGUCCAGACUCCUACGGGAGGCAGCAGUGGGGAAUAUUGGACAAUGGGCGCAAGCCUGAUCCAGCCAUACCGCGUGGGUGAAGAAGGCCUUCGGGUUGUAAAGCCCUUUUGUUGGGAAAGAAAAGCAGCAGGUUAAUACCCCGCUGUUCUGACGGUACCCAAAGAAUAAGCACCGGCUAACUUCGUG
rnacentral:rRNA from 1 species